CUUCUGGAAUUGGGCCCCGAGGACCGGAGAAAAGCCAGGAUGACAGGGCGGAAACGGAACGAACCACAGACCAAGCCCAGACAGAACGAGCUUUAGAGCAUCGAAAUACACAUAUCCAAUCUACAGACUACAUCUGAGUUAAACGCAGGUUUGUUAUUACUAUUCAUUUAUAGCUAAAGUGCCACCAGCAUUGAUAAAGAUAAACAGAGCAGGCCUGGGCCGAAAAUAGUUGUAUUCUGUAGUUUAGUAGAAAGAAAAACGUUUCAAAUACUCGAGGUUGUCUAAUAUAGUUUAUUUAGAGUUUCACCUAAAAGUCAAAUAUACUGAACAAAAAUAUAAAUGUAGCAUGUAAAAAGUGUUUCAUGAGCUGAAAUAAAAGAUCCCAGAAAUGUUC